CACAGACCUGUGUACACACAAAUUGACUCCAUCAGGAAGUUCAAUCUGGGACUGCUCUGUGGCCAUAUAUCCUAGGUUAAUUGGUAGUUCAUGCAUUCUUUCAUAGAGAGAAGAUUCUGAAACAAGUUUCUGAGAAUACAAGCCUGCCCAGUAAAAGCUGUACAAGGAGUAGCCUUAGCCUUCAGUGAAUUAAUGUAGUGGUUUCAGUAGUGACCUUUACCAACACAACUUCUAGUUAUGCCAUGCUAUGGGUGAUUUCAGUUGCAUUAAUUGGCACAGAGUUGUAAAUGCAACAUUUAUUACAGGCAUAAAUAAACUACUGAGCAGACUCAAACACCUUCACUUUAAUUAUAGAAACUGCAUUGAUCACAUCUAACUGGGGCUGGUAUUUUAUUGAUGCUUCAAUGCGUUCUAGGCACUAGUUUUAUUUCAACCACUCUUGCUUUUAUUUAUUUAAAAAAAAAAAAGGAGGAAAAAGUACUUCUUGGAUUUACAUUUCUUCUGUGGCUAGUAGUAGUGAUUACUCUUUUGUUGUGAAGCCAUAAGUAAUGCAUAGGCUUCAUACUACUACUUUCAGGGAAGGUCAUUUCCUUUGACCCUAAAUCAUUGAGUUUGGAUUACUAAAAUCAGAAAUUAUUCAAUUUUUAUGGAAACGUGAUCAGUCCCCUUUUUUUUCUGUAAUGGAGAGUAAAUCCAAUAAUAGAAUGAUCCAAGCAAGUGCUGGUCUCCUGCUGGAUAUGGUGGUGAGCCAUCCAGGCAGUUCCUGAAACUGUUAGGCUUGCAUUUGUGAGAUAUACUUUAUUCAUUUGAAAUCUCUUCACACUUCUGUAGAUGAAAUAUUUAACAAAAUACAUCAAAUAGCAAAGGCUGGCUGUAUCACCUUUCCAAUUUUUUUCUGCAUGUAUUUAUCUUCUAAUUAAACAGAUGAGUUUUCUGGAGGAAAUUACACUAAUUUCCACUUAUAGACAGACUUCUAUAGUAAUGUUGACUUACAUUGCCUUGUGUAGGUGUGGUUUCUGUGAGAACAGCUGUUAUCUUGGCAUGGAGAGCUUUGACAGUAAACCUGAGGCACAGCUGGAUUAUCAAGUUAAAUUGUGCAAUUUGAUGGCAAGCUCAGAUGCAGCUGUAGAAUGCAGUUUAGUAGUAUUAAUAAUUAAAUUAUAAAUUGGUGUGAUAAAAUCUAAUAGAUGGUUGUAGUUCCAGUUGAUGCUAGAACAGUGUUAGUUGUAUAGUACUCUUUUUUUCAAUUUUUUUAAGUGCUGAUCUCUUCUUUUCCAUAAGUGUUAGCAAUAAGAGACAAGCUGUCACACUGCAUGGCUGACCUGUGCUUCUCUCCUGUGCGGCUGCUUGUGAGCAGAACACCUGAACCACAGAUUUCCUCACCCAAACUUUAUUUUAAUUAAAAUAAACUCAUUGAGAUUUGGAUGCAGCAGGUCUGGUUUCACCUGCACUGUGAAGAAAGAGCUUUAUGACAUACUUUAUUUAGACAGUCUUUUGAUGAAUCCUGCUUGGCCCUGAAGUUUUGCUGGUGUUUAAAUUAGUGACAGACAGGAGUUGUACUGAAACACAAUGCUUACUUUUAAAAGAUAAAUUCAUUGCAGUUUUCUUAUGCAUACCAGUCCCACUGAAACUGUAGGCACUUAGGGCAGUGCUUUCCUGUCCCCUGAGCCCUACAUUAGGUGAUAGUAAAAUAGGCUGAGCUCAUAUUGUCAGCUUCGCAGCCUGACUUGUAAGUGGUGCAGCACAUCCUUAAGAUUUGGUGGUCUAGGGCUUAGUCCAAAGCAGCUGAAAGUCUUUUGGAGCUACAGCAAGGUGGUAGUUCAGCCAAGUCACUGUUCUGAGAUGCUCUGUUAAAUAAAUAUGGUUUGGGUACAAGAAUGCAUCUUCUUUGUCAGGAUUAAAAUGAUGGGUAAUACUUUAAAAAUAAUAACAAUUAAAAAAAUGGAUAUAUUAUGUUGACUUACUCAUCCAAGUGUCAUGCGAAUUGCUUACUAAGGGUGGAGUUUGCUAAGGUCUAAAGUUACCCUCACAUAGAAGUGCCUGUAUUCUGUUAUUGCCAUUCUUGAGCUUUUUAAGAGAGUCACAGCCAUAUAUUUUAUAAAUAUAAGCAUAUGCACCUUUCGAUCUUUAAAUUUGCAGAACAAAGGUUUACAGAGCAGAAGUGUAGCAAAACCAAUGUACUAGCUUCUGUAAUUCCCCAGUGGGGGAUGGAGAAGUACAAAAAAUGGGGAGGAUCAGACUAUCUGUAUAAGAUGUCUUAAUUUGGCACCAUAUAUUCAUCCAAUUUAGUUCCAUCAAGCUAUGUGGUUAUAAGAGUGCCAGAAAUAUAUCUCUCAAGCCAUUCUAAAUAAAAAGCUCUUUGUGGACCUGUAUAUUCCAUUUGUUUGUAAAACAUUUUUGUGCACUGUAACGAACUUGAAAUGAAACUCAUACCACUGAACAGAGCUCUGUUCAGCUACCUCGACGUAAGGUUGAAGUACUUUGGUUUUUUUCCAGAUUUGUUCACAUUGUCAUAUAAAAUAUUUUUUAAAAAAAUUCAUAGUCCAAAGAUCCUGUAUUUGUUUGUAGAUGUACUUACAAUUAUGUUGUACCAACAAAGUCUGUGUGAAGCAUUGUUUGCUAAUUAAAAUUUUUGUGUUCUUUACUCCUUGGCUUGCAUAACAAAGAACAUCAGGUGUGAACCUCUGUGGCACGCGAGCUGCUUUUUUAGGUGGUUUAGAAAAAGGAACAAAGAACAAAUCCUAGGUUCUGCAGCCACGCAGCACAAUCCGAUGUGAAGGAAGGAACCCACAGGAAGGAAGGCGGUUGCCCAAAACUCAGCCUUUGUAAGGGACCCCCCAGAGCACUUUCCUUUUUUGCUGUAGAAGAGAAAGGGCAAUGGGAAGUGCUGAGAGCCUAGCUUCCAGCGCUGUGUGCUUCAGUGCCUCCUGUGCUGUUUGCUUUAGUGAGUUGCCUCUGUUUCUGUGAUUAAAAACAAUAGCUAGGCUGCCUUCCAUGUGCAGCCUCGGCCAGGAAAAGUGAGCCCUAGCUGCUUGUUAAGCUAUGCCUGUGGACCCAUGUAAGCAUGAUAUUUAGUAAGAACCCCUCAGCUAGAAGCUGCAUAGCACUUUUGAAGUCCACAGCUUGCAGAAAAAGCUGAAAAAGAGGACUUAUAUUCAUAAACCCCAAGACUGAGAGAACAGCUCCAUGGUUUAUCCUACUGAAAAUGUGGAAGAGUCACCAAAGUUUAGCUUUUAGAGAUAUGUACGGGCUGCUCCUUUACCUAGUUGCCAAAGCAAGCUGCGUGCCAUGGCUGUGCUCUGCUGCUCCAAUCCUGUCACCUAUGGCACCAGAGAUCACCUCACUGCUCUCUUAUGUAAGCUUGCUCAGGUCCUGCAUUUAUUUUAGAAUCCAGGGCACAGCCUGAAGGCUGAAUUUAGUAAGGCAACAGCUAAUUAUGUCAGGGCUGUGGUUUUCUAUAACAAAUAUUUGAAUCUGAGCUGGGAAGUAUUUUGGUUGAAGUGCUUUUCCAUCAGGAAACUGCCAAAGCUGAAGCUUUGCUUGCGAACACGGCAGGUAAAUUAUUCCUUUCAGUUCUGUUUUAAUUCUGAAAGCCUUAAUUAAGAAUGGUUUUUAGUUGUAGUUUAAAGCAGAAAAUAAAUAAGUAAAUAAAACAAAUCUAGGGUAGCAAAUGUAUUUCCCAACUCUAUUUGUUCAGCACACUUUAAAAGAGAUUUAUUCAACAGACUCAUGAAGUAGUCUGAAGUCAAUUACUUAAUGUCUCACUUUAAAAUGAUCAUCAAAAUGGCAAACAAUCUCUAUGGUGUAAAGCAGUUCCUGGGAAAGGACUGCUGACUGCCUCCUGUCAGCCUUCACUGCCCCAUGUGGUUCUUAAUGCUGCAGCCAUUGUGGCUGGGCUGUGAUCAGGGCUUGGCCCACAGCAGUGCCUGGCUGUUUUGCCACCACUUUGAGCACUCAGGCAUCAAGCUGUAACGUGCUGUUCUCUUAAUGAAAUGUCACAAAGUCCUGGGACAUCUAUCAGUGUGCUGUGGUUCUCCAUAGGACUGAGUUAAAGUGCUGCAACAUUUCUGUCUUCAAAUGUGAGGCGUGCUGCCUGCCGCCAUCUUGGCCACGUGUGCAGAGGGAGAGUAGAAACUUAGUUUGUAAGGGACUGUGGGGCUAGGCUUUGUUGUCACUGUCGUUCUUCAAUCCGUGUUGCUUUCAAACUGAGUAAAUUUUCUAUCAGCUGCCACUUAGAACUCCAGAAAUCACACAACAGAACAGAUGAAAUAGUUCUUCCUAGUGGGUAGUAAUGUGACCAGGCCUUCUUCCCCAGCUGUAUUAUAACUAGCUGCUCAGCAAAGCUCUAUACUGAUGCCAAAAAUGAACACACAGAGGCAACCUGAGAACCAGAGCACCAUCGAAGAGCAGGGUUUGUCAUGCAUAGCCCUCAGCUGCCACACACUGAAUGGUUUACCUCUUCUCAUGGACAGCUUUCAGGUUGUUAAAGCAAAGCUGACAGCCUGAGAGAGCGUGCCGUCACUAGCAGCUUUGUGCCAGCACGGCAUCUUCUCUCGCAGUAGAUCUGCUCUUGACUUGUAAUGCUAUAAGUGAAAGGAGAAUUAAGCUAUUUAUGUAAGUGACUUUAUUUAUAUAACUGACUUAUGCUGUAUUAUAUGAUGAAAAAGGAAAAAAAAAAAGCGGCUUUUUUUUUUUUUUGUCAUUUCUAUGAGCUGCAGGAAGAUUUUGUAAAAGUAAUACUAGUAAUAAAUGGUUUUCU
rnacentral:lncRNA from 1 species